rnacentral:rRNA from 1 species
UACGUAGGGUGCAAGCGUUGUCCGGAAUUAUUGGGCGUAAAGAGCUCGUAGGCGGUCUGUCGCGUCGGAUGUGAAAAUCCAGGGCUCAACCCUGGACCUGCAUUCGAUACGGGCAGACUAGAGUUCGGCAGGGGAGACUGGAAUUCCUGGUGUAGCGGUGAAAUGCGCAGAUAUCAGGAGGAACACCGAUGGCGAAGGCAGGUCUCUGGGCCACUACUGACGCUGAGAAGCGAAAGCAUGGGGAGCGAACAGG